AUGCAGUUGACGAGUCCAAAAUGGGAUGAAACGAGCGUCCUGUAU
rnacentral:hammerhead_ribozyme from 1 species